rnacentral:lncRNA from 1 species
UUUCUCAUUAUAAAUGCAACGCUCCCAGGAGCAAGAUGACGAUUGUUUAUGGGGCCAUGUAAUCCAUACCUGUUUUCUGUGAACACGAAUCUUUAAAGAUUUCUUUUAUUAUUGCUGUAAGAGUCCAGAGGCAGUAUAUUGCUUUAUUACUCUCAGAGCAUUCAGAAAGAUUUUUCUGGCAAAAAGCAAUCCAGGAAUUACUUAAGGUUAUCUACAAGUGAGAAAAUAAAGAAAGUGGUUAAAAUACAAUAUUUUCUUUACAUAAUACAACUGUAUACAACAUUGUUUACACAUUUGGCCAAAAGAAGUAUGAUAAUAUGUGGCAAAACGAGAAGGAACAGAAAUAUCCUAAUAUUAUUUAAGUAAAAAAAUCGAAUAUGCCAUAGAAAUAAAACAAAGGGAUGGAGGAAGAUCUACCAAGCAAAUGGAAAACAAAAAAAAGGCAGGGGUUGCAAUCCUAGUCUCUGAUAAAACAGACUUUAAACCAACAAAGAUCAAAAGAGACAAAGAAGGCCAUUACAUAAUGGUAAAGGGAUCAAUUUAACAAGAAGAGCUAACUAUCCUAAAUAUAUAUGCACCCAAUACAGGAGCACCCAGAUUCAUAAAGCAACUCCUUAGAGACCUAAAAAGAGACUUAGACUCCCACACAAUAAUAAUGGGAGACUGUAACACCCCACUGUCAACAUUAGACAGAACAAUGAGACAGAAAGUUAACAAGGAUAUCCAGGAAUUGAACUCAGCUCUGCACCAAUCAGACCUAAUAGACAUCUACAGAACUCUCCACCCCAAAUCAACAGAAUAUACAUUCUUUUCAGCACCACACCACACCUAUUCCAAAAUUGACCACAUAGUUGGAAGUAAAGCUCUCCUCAGCAAAUGUAAAAGAACAGAAAUUAUAACAAACUGUCUCUCAGACCACAGUGCAAUCAAACUAGAACUCAGGAUUAAGAAACUCACUCAAAACCGCUCAACUACAUGGAAACUGAACAACCUGCUCCUGAAUGACUGCUGGGUACAUAAUAAAAUGAAGGCAGAAAUAAAGAUGUUCUUUGAAACCAACAAGAACAAAGACACAACAUGCCAGAAUCUCUGGGACGCAUUCAAAGCAGUGUGUAGAGGGAAAUUUAUAGCACUAAAUGCCCACAAGAGAAAGCAGGAAAGAUCCAAAAUUGACACCCUAACAUCACAAUUAAAAGAACUAGAAAAGCAAGAGCAAACACAUUCAAAAGCUAGCAGAAGGCAAGAAAUAACUAAAAUCAGAGCAGAACUGAAGGAAAUAGAGACACAAAAAACCCUUCAAAAAAUUAAUGAAUCCAGGAGCUGGUUUUUUGAAAGGAACAACAAAAUUGAUAGACUGCUAGCAAGACUAAUGANNNNNNNNNNNNNNNNNNNNNNNNNNNNNNNNNNNNNNNNNNNNNNNNNNNNNNNNNNNNNNNNNNNNNNNNNNNNNNNNNNNNNNNNNNNNNNNNNNNNNNNNNNNNNNNNNNNNNNNNNNNNNNNNNNNNNNNNNNNNNNNNNNNNNNNNNNNNNNNNNNNNNNNNNNNNNNNNNNNNNNNNNNNNNNNNAGCUGAAUCUCCGAAUAGACCAAUAACAGGCUGUGAAAUUGAGGCAAUAAUUAAUAGCUUACCAACCAAAAAAAGCCCAGGACCAGAUGGAUUCACAGCCGAAUUCUACCAGACGUACAAGGAGGAGCUGGUACCAUUCCUUCUGAAACUAUUCCAAUCAACAGAAAAAGAGGGAAUCCUCCCUAACUCAUUUUAUGAGGACAGCAUCAUCCUGAUACCAAAGCCUGGCAGAGACACAACAAAAAAAGAGAAUUUUAGACCAAUAUCCCUGAUGAACAUUGAUGCAAAAAUCCUCAGUAAAAUACUGGCAAACCAAAUCCAGCAGCACAUCAAAAAGCUUAUCCACCAUCAUCAAGUGGGCUUCAUCCCUGAGAUGCAAGGCUGGUUCAACAUAUGCAAAUCAAUAAAUGUAAUCCAUCAUAUAAACAGAACCAAAGACAAAAACCACAUGAUUAUCUCAAUAGAUGCAGAUGGAAACCAUCAUUCUCAUCAAACUAUCACAAGGACAAAAAACCAAACACCACAUGUUCUCACUCAUAGGUGGGAACUGAACAAUGAGAACACUUGGACUCAGGAAGGGGAACAUGACACAUCAGGGCCUGUUGUGGGGUAGGGUGAGGGGGAAGGGAUAGUAUUAAGAGAUAUACCUAAUGUAAAUGAGGAGUUAAUGGGUGCAGCACACCAACAUGGCACAUGUAUACAUAUGUAACAAACCUGCACGUUGUGCACAUGUACCCUAGACCUUAAAGUAUAAUAAAAAUAUAUAUAUUUUAAAAAAAGAAAAUGUGGUACAUAUAUAGAAUGGAAUACUAUGUAGCCAUAAAAAAGUGAGAUUCUGUCAUUUGAAACAACAUGGAUGGAACUGGAAGUCAUUGUUAAAUGAUAGAAGCCAGGCACAGGAAGACAAAUAUUGCAUGUUCUCCCUUAUUUGUGGGAGCUAAAAAUUAAAACAGUUGAACUCAUGGAGAUUUCGAGUAAAACAAUGGUUACCAGAGGCCAAGAAGGGUAGUUCUGAGUGGAGGGAAGGGGGAAUGGUUAGUGGGUAAAAAUAUGGUUAGAUAGAAUGAAGAAGAUCUAUAAUAGUAUUUGAUAGUACAACAGGGUAACUACAGUCAACAAUAAUGUAUUGUACAUUUUAAUAUAACUAAAAGAGUAUAAUUGAAUUGUCCAUAACAAAAAAAGAUAAACGCUUGAUGUGAUAAAUANNNNNNNNNNNCCAAGAUCCCAUUUAUAAGAAUAAAAAUAUAAGAAUAUGGAAUUCUGUUUCAGUAAAUCUGGGAUAGGGCCUGAGAUUCUACUUAUAGAGAAGCCUUUCUCCUUUAUUCCCCUCAGAGUUAACCCAAUCUCUGAGUGCUUCACUCUCAGUGUGAACAGAGGAAAGUCUCUAACGUGAAAAAUGAAUAUUGCAACCCUUACUAAUAUCCUCUGCCUGUCUAUGCUUUUAAAAUGUUUUCACUUGGCCAGAAGUUGGCUAAUGGCCUUUUGUAGGUUUCUGCACCUAUUGUGUUCAUUGGCUCCUAGAAUCUCAGGAGUGAAAGAGACCUGAGAAGUUACCUAGUCUAGACUAGGUGUGGUGACUCACACCCAUAAUCGCAACACUUUGGAAGGCCAAGGUGGGAGGAUCCUUUGAGCCCAGUAGUUUGAGACCAGCCUGGGCAACAUAGUGUGACUCUCUUUCUAAAAAUAAAAAUGAGCCAGUGAUAACCACAAAAAAAAAAAAUUCUGGAAGCCAAAUUACCAUGUCUUGGUAAAAAGAUAUUUUACAUAAUUGAUGUUCACUUCAAAAUCUCCUCUUAGGUAGACUAUAACAAUUCGGAUUACUACUGGAUUCUGAGUUUCAAGAAAGCAAAGACUGUGGCCCCUUUACUUCAACAUUUUAUCUUUAUACCUUUAACUUAUUUUUUUUAAUUACUGCACUAGCCAGAACUUCCACAGUAAUGCUGAAUAAAAAUUAUGACAGUAAAGAAAAAAAACAAAAUAAAAAUGAAAGAUGAAAAUGUUAGCAGUGUUAUCUGUAAGUGGUGAAUUUUUCAUUUUAAUUUGCUCUUUAUAGUUUGUCUAUUUUCCAAAUUUUCUACUGUAAUAUCACUUUUUAUAUUCAGAAAAAAGUUACUGAAAGAAGCAAGAGAUUAUAGUUGAAAAGUCAGUAGAUAUUUCAUUUGUUUAUUAACUAAUUCAGAGAUAAGAGAAAAACUCAACUCUGAAUUUAUUUAUACUGUUUUAUAUUAUGCUGAGGACUGUUGUUAGAAUUUACAUUAAACCUGUGAAAAUAGGCUUGUUCUCAACUGGUGGUUCCUAAAUCUUUUUAGGGGGAAGGGGUCCACCUACUAGUUCGAGAAUCUGCAGAAAGUUAUGGACUCUGAUGUGAAAUUCACCUCUCAGGUUAAGAAUCUGAUUAUGAUUGACAACACAUUUAAGACUCUAAUCCUUGACACAAAUCAUCAUAUUCUAUUCUUAAAUUUUUAUGGCUUUACAUAUGUUAUUAUGUGAGCAAAUGUCUUAUUAAUACAAAUAUCUGAAGGGUAAAAAUCAAAUGUCAAAGAGCAAUUUCUGAGAAACAGGUUAGGUGCCAUGGCUCUCGUCUUUAAUCCCAGCACUUUGGGAGGCUGACUUUAAUCCCAGCACUUUGGGAGGCUGAGGCAGGAGGAUUGCUUGAGCCCAGAAGUUUGAGACCAGAUUGGGCAACACAGUGAGACCUUGUCUCCACAAAACAUUUAAAUUUAAAAAAAAUUAAGAAAGAGAAAUAAUAACAUACUUUGAUUACUUAUCUUACCUUUUCUCUCAAUUGGAAAUAUAGAAGCAAUGCAAGGCACUGUGCAGCCAUGUGAGAUAACAAUUUAUCUGAAUUUUGGAACAUGCAGAUCUACAGGAAAACAAAUAUAAUAACCACUAUUGCUGAAUGUUCUUAAAAUUUUAUUUUAAAUAUCUACAUCUUUAGAAAAACAAAUAGCUUACUAAUUUAGAAUCGACUUUGGCUGAUUCUAAGAGAAUUUUAAUUACAUCUCUGUAUUGCUCCUUUGCAUGGAACUCGGUUUUGACAGACAAUAUCCGGGUUGUCAUCACUUUGAUCACUGUUAACUGAAGGAGCAUGACUUCUCUGGAACUGCUCAUCUGAGAGCUGGUCUUCAAACACGCAGGUGCUACAGCAAUGGGAGCCACACCAACAGAGAUGGGCUGAUGCCUGCCCUGGAUACCACAGGUGUUUGCCCAUUCUAAGGAGGUGGCUGUAGAGCAAUCUUGAUCUGAAACUGCUGGGUUGAGAUAAAAGAUGUAAUCGUGGCUGUCAUUUUCAAGUGUGGCUCCAAGAAGUACCUUCUUGUAUAACUCUUCUAAAACUUCACAGAAAACUUUCAUUUUGACUUCCAAAAUGUAUCUUAUAAGAAGGUCGACAACUC